rnacentral:rRNA from 1 species
AUAUGGUCAAGUAACUAAGGGCCAAAGGCGGAUGCCUAGGCACUGGUAGGCGAUGAAGGUCGUGGCUAGCUGCGAUAAGCCUCGGGGAGGAGCAAACAUCCCUUGAUCCGAGGAUCACCGAAUGGGAAAACCCAGCAGGGCAACCCCCUGUUAUUGCAUACUGAAUUCAUAGGUAUGCAAUGCUACACGCGGAGAAUUGAAACAUCUUAGUAUCCGCAGGAAAAUAAAUCAAACGAGAUUCCCUAAGUAGCGGCGAGCGAACGGGGAAGAGCCUAAACCAUGGUUGUUUACUCAGCCGUGGGGUUGUAGGACAGCGAUGUCUUUGUGUACACAAUAGUGGAACGGUAUUGGAAAAGCCGGCCAUAGCGGGUGAUAGCCCCGUACGCGAAAUUGUUGUACAUGAGGUAGCUGUAUCCUGAGUAACGCGAGACACGUGAAAUCUUGCGUGAAUCCGGGGAGACCACUCUCCAAGGCUAAAUACUCACCAGUGACCGAUAGUGAACAGUACCGCGAGGGAAUGGUGAAAAGAACCCCGUCGAGGGUAAUGAAAUAGAAUCUGAAACCUUUGGCCUACAAGCAGUCAGAGGGGCUUUGUGCCCUAAUGGCCUACCUUUUGUAGAAUGGCCCUGCGAGUUAUAGUACGUAGCAAGGUUAAACCGUAUUAGCGGUGAAGCCGUAGUGAAAGCGAGCCUUAAUAGGGCGAUUAGUUGCGUAUUAUAGACCCGAAGCCGAGUGAUCUACAUAUGACCAGGAUGAAGCUCGGGUAACACCGAGUGGAGGUCCGAACCGGUACAGGUUGAAAACUGUUCGGAUGAGUUGUGUGUAGGGGUGAAAGGCUAAUCAAACCCGGCUAUAGCUGGCUCUCUUCGAAAUGUUUUUAGGAACAGCCUUGCAUGUUAAGUUACGGGGGUAGAGCACUAAAUGGACUAGGGUCUUUAACCAGAUACCAAACCCAAAUAAACUCCGAAUACCGUAACUCCAGAAUGCAGGAGUGAGCCCGUGGGGGAUAAGCUUCACGGACGAGAGGGGAAGAACCCAGAUCAUCAGAUAAGGUCCCAAAAUUUAUGCUAAGUGGUAAAGGAUGUUAAAUCGCGAAAACAGCCAGGAGGUUGGCUUAGAAGCAGCCACCCUUUAAAGAGUGCGUAACAGCUCACUGGUCGAGCGUUUUUGCGCCGAAAAUGUAACGGGGCUCAAGCAUAAUACCGAAUCGAUGGGCUCGAAAGAGCGGUAGAAGAGCGUUCCCUACGCCGUCGAAGGCAAAGCCGUAAGGCAUGCUGGAGGCAUGGGAAGUGAGAAUGCAGGGACGAGUAACGAUAAAACGGAUGAGAAAUCCGUUCGCCGUAAGCCUAAGGUUUCCUGGGUUAAGUUAAUCUGCCCAGGGUUAGUCGGCUCCUAAGGCGAGGCCGAAAGGCGUAGUCGAUGGGAAACAGGUCAAUAUUCCUGUACCAUGGUCAGUUUCGAUGGGAUGACGCAGUAGGUUUUCGUACGCGGGGUUUCGGUUGUCCCCGUCAAAACGUCAAGCUGUGGGAUGAGUCAAAUGCUUGUUCCUUUAACAGCAAGGCGUGAUAGUGAGCGCGGUUUAGGCUGCGCGAAGUUACACGAAUCACACUGCCAAGAAACAAUCCCUAAGGUUAGGCUGAUUGUGACCGUACCGUAAUCCGACGCAGGUAGGCGAGAUGAAUAUUCUAAGGCGCUCGAGUCAACUAUCCCUAAGGAACUUUACAGAAUAGUCCCGUAACUUCGGAAGAAGGGAUGCCCAACGUUCGGUAGCAAUAUCGGACUGCGGGCCGCAGUGAAUGGGUCUGGCCGACUGUUUAUCAAAAACACAGGUCUCUGCGAACUCGUAAGAGAACGUAUAGGGACUGAUGCUUGCCCAGUGCUGGAAGGUUAAAGGGAGGAGUUAGCAGCAAUGCGAAGCCCCGAACCGAAGCCCCAGUAAACGGCGGCCGUAACUAUGACGGUCCUAAGGUAGCGAAAUUCCUUGUCGGGUAAGUUCCGACCUGCACGAAUAGUAUAACGAUCCGGACAUUGUCUCGGGGAUAGUCUCGGUGAAACUGAAUUAUUGGUGAAGAUGCCAAUUACUUGUGAUAGGACAGAAAGACCCCAUGAACCUUUACUAUACCUUAGCAUUGUACUUUUCUCUGAGAUGUGUAGCAUAGGUGGGAGACUAUGAAGCGGCGGUGCUAGCCGUCGCGGAGUCGCCAAUGAAAUACCACCCUUCUUAGAGCGAGGUUCUAACAUGUUCCCGUAAGCCGGGGCGUGGACACUGCUAGGCGGGUAGUUUGACUGGGGCGGUCGCCUCCCAAAAAGUAACGGAGGCGCACAAAGGUCACCUCGAACCGAAUAGAAAUCGGUCGAAAGAGCGCAAAGGCAUAUGGUGGCUUGACUGCAAGACCGACAGGUCGAGCAGGUGCGAAAGCAGGUCUUAGUGAUCCGGUGGUCCCAUGUGGACGGGCCAUCGCUCAACGGAUAAAAGGUACUCUGGGGAUAACAGGCUGAUCUCCCCCAAGAGUUCAUAUCGACGGGGAGGUUUGGCACCUCGAUGUCGGCUCAUCGCAUCCUGGGGCUGGAGCAGGUCCCAAGGGUUUGGCUGUUCGCCAAUUAAAGCGGUACGUGAGCUGGGUUCAAAACGUCGUGAGACAGUUUGGUCCUUAUCCAUCACAAGCGCUGGGGAAUUGCGAGGCGUUGCUCUUAGUACGAGAGGACCGGAGUGAACGCACCUCUAGUGCACCAGUUGUUCCACCAGGGGCAGUGCUGGGUAGCUAUGUGCGGACGAGAUAACCGCUGAAAGCAUCUAAGUGGGAAACUCACCUCAAGAUUAGUUCCCCCCAUCAGGCACGUUGGAGACUACGACGUUGAUAGGAUGCAGGUAUAAGCACAGCAAUGUGUUCAGCCGAGCAUUACUAAUCCGCCGAUUGACUUGACCAUAUUAUCA